AAAUUCCCAACUCUUUUCUCCCUCAACUCUUCUUGACAGCCUCCAACCGCCCUUCUCUCUCCCUCUCGUCUUCCUCCUCUCCCUCUCUCCAGCCGUCUCUCUCUCCCUCCAUUCUUUCCGGUGGGAAUCGCCACCUCCAAGUGGUGGCAGCCUCCCCUCUCUCCUCGCCCUUCUCCUUAGUUUCCCCCUCCUCUCUUCGUUUUUCCCUUCUCCUUCCCUUCCCCUUCUUUCUCUCCAUUUUUUUUUGUAGGCGAGAGCAGAGGACGACUCUGAGCAGACCACCGGCAGCAGCAGUCGCCGGCGAGAACAGCCUGCGCAGCAGCAGCGCCUGGAGAGGCGCACGAUAGUAGCAGCAGCGGCCAGCAGACGACGACAACCAGCAGCUUGGUGAGGCCAUGGCAAACAGCAGCUUCAACCGACGAGCAACAGCGUCCGGCGACCCCUCUUUCCUUCUCUCCUCUUCUCCGACGAGCAGCGACUAGCAGCCCAGCGCCACCUCGACUCCUUGCCUCUCGUCUCUUCUCUAGCAGCUGGACAGCACGAUGAGUAGCAUCUACCGGCUGUUCCGAGAGCAGCAACUCCCUCCACCUUUUUCUUCUCCGGCCAUGAGCAAAAGGGAAUAUUGAGUUGUUGUGAUAAGGAAAGAUCUGUCCAAGGUUUCAAACUUGAAGUUCAAGUUGAAGAUUAAUUGAAGAAAGAUUUAUUUGUUUAUUUGAAUGUAUAUAUAUAUAUUUUUUCUAUUUUAUUUAUUCGAAUGUUGUAACAAUUGUAACUCUAAAGAUCAUAUAUAUAAAUUUAUUUGGGGGGUCGUCUAGGGGAGGGGGAUUUACAUGCCUGCUUGUUCAUUGUAAAAUUUUUUAGAAAUCAUGCCUAUAGUUUUGUCUUUAACCACCUAGAAUUAUUGUUUGUAGGUGUUAUAAUCCAAUCAAUUGUUUGAUGCUUUGUUAAUAAGUCUAAAAAAUAAUAACUAGAUUCCAUUAAUUUUUAAUGUUAAAAUCAAAUCAUAAUAAUUUAAUAGGCUGAUUAGGUGUUUUAAUAAUGUUAUAACUUUUAGCAUUGUCUUGUCAUGUAGAAACCAUGCCUAAGGAUUAAUUUGUUCAUAUAAUUUAGAUUUACAAAAAAAACAUGCAUAUAUGUUUGAACACCUAGACAUUCAUGUCUAUAGGCUUGUAAAUAACUUUUGACAUAAAAAUAAAAAUAAAAUUUGUUUGUGCAUAUUUGUGCCCUCUCCCUAAAAUUAGUUAAUAUUAUUUAAUUAGUAAUCCUAUUUGUCUUCCGCAUUCAUGAUGCAAUAUGUUUUUCCUUAAUAAUACUAAAUUAGAAUCAUUUCAUGCAUUUAACAAAUUACUUGGCUUUUAAAAAUAUUUCAUAUCAAAACCUUGCAACAUAAUUUUCUUUAAAAGUCAUUAUUCAAUCUUCCUUUAAAAACUUUGGAUUGAUAUGACAUUGUUUAUAAAUUAUAAGCACUAUAUCCUAACCUAUCGUUAGUGGGAAAGUCAAAGGAACUACGAGGUCUAGUUCCAAUUUUUAAACCCGACGCGUCCCCGGAAGUACCACUUACCCAUGAUUUUCAAAA